CUGGGGAUCUGUUCGUAAAGAUUCUUCAAAUCUUCAUCUGGGAGCCUUUUAUGGUGCAGGUCGGUAGCUUUUUGGAGCCACGAGCUUAUAUCAGAGACCAUCUUCCCCUUGGAAUAUAGCAGCUGACUGAAAACGAAGUUAACCCUAAUACCAUGUACCACAGAUAGAUCCCAUCUCAAGGGCCACUUGGAAAUCUUGACAAGAAAUGUGCCACAAAGAAGUACAGGCAUUGUGAUAUGAAGAAUGGAAAUGGGACACCCUGAAAAGCUGAUUCAUUUUAAACACGAAAGCCAAGGAUCCGUUGAUGUGUCAAGGUGCAGAUUUACAACAUGGCCAAUUUGGUCUGGAGAAAGCAAAACGUGACUUCUCUCAUGGGAACUGAAUCCACAAUCCUAUCCUUCUAGUCUUAGAUUCUAAUAGAAAUGAAGAACAAUGCAAAUGAAUGGUGAUUUUAGAAAUCAUCUUUAAAUUUAAUCCUUUGACGGACAAAUUAGUGUGGUCCUCUCCCACCUAUCAAUAAUACCUGAAUAGCCUACUAUGCUUUCAUCUGGCAGAAUCUGUUGGAAAGUUAUUUGUGUUGUUUUCCAUUUAUAUAGUUCAAGGUAAAUCCCAACAGUACUAUAAACCAUGGGAAUUUUCAAGCCUACAUAGCCCCUGAUCUUUUCAAUAGCCCCAAAGGGUCCUAGGCCCCCGUGAACUCAGACUCCAAGUAAUUUGAGAAAGUCUCACUCUGUUCUGAAGAUCUAAAGGCAGUAAAUCAGUUGCUCUGGACCCUGUUGGGAUUGAGUCUAAUAAGGGAAGUUUCCUUAUAAAUAACCAUGGGAUUGAUUAGUGGCCCAAUAAUAAAACCUUUUUUUCCCCCCAUAGAUACGAUGGAUUUGGAGAGUGUAAUGGAUGAGUCUUUCCCCUUUCCCCUUGAACUGAGCUGAUCUUGAUGUGUUUGGCAGUUAGAAUAUGGUACAAAUGAUGCUGUGCAUUGAUACCUCUUGGGACGCCAUGACAAGUCCAAGGGGCAUAGAAAGGAUGUGGAGGAGAAUCUAUGUGCUUCAGCCAACAGCCCUGGCUGAGUGUCCAACACUGUAUGAGUGAGCAUCUUGAGCUCUAGCCCAGUCUGUCCUCUGGAGGGAUGCAGCACCAGCGGACAGCACAGGGAGCAGAACUGCCUAGCUGGGCCCUAUUAACUCACAGUA